GGUUUGGUUAGGGUUUGAUUUAGGGUUUGGAUUAGAGUUUGGUUAGGGUUUGAUUUAAGGUUUGGUUUAGGAUUUAGGAUUUGGAUUAGAGUUUAGGGUUGAAUUAGGGUUUGGAUUAGGGUUUAGGAUUGAAUUAGGGUUUGGAUUAGGGUUUAGGGUUGAAUUAGGGUUUGAUUUAGGAUUUGGAUUAGGGUUUGGUUAGGAUUUGAUUUAAGAUUUGGUUUAGGAUUUAGGGUUAGAUUAGGGUUUGGUUUAGGAUUUGAUUUAGGAUUUGGUUUAGGAUUUAGGGUUUGGAAUAAGGUUUAAUUUAAGAUUUAUUUAGGAUUUGACUUAGAGUUUAGGAAUUAUUAGGAUUUAAGAUUUAAUUAGGUUUGGUCUAAAGUUGAGUGAAAUUCAAUAGGGUUUUAACUAGAAUUAAAUUAAGGUUGAAUUGAUAUAUAUUUGAGUAAAAUUUGUGAUCAUUCUAAUAUUUCUUU
rnacentral:lncRNA from 1 species